AUUGAACGCUGGCGGCAGGCCUAACACAUGCAAGUCGAGCGGAUGAAGGGAGCUUGCUCCUGGAUUCAGCGGCGGACGGGUGAGUAAUGCCUAGGAAUCUGCCUGGUAGUGGGGGAUAACGUCCGGAAACGGGCGCUAAUACCGCAUACGUCCUGAGGGAGAAAGUGGGGGAUCUUCGGACCUCACGCUAUCAUAUGAGCCUAGGUCGGAUUAGCUAGUUGGUGGGGUAAAGGCCUACCAAGGCGACGAUCCGUAACUGGUCUGAGAGGAUGAUCAGUCACACUGGAACUGAGACACGGUCCAGACUCCUACGGGAGGCAGCAGUGGGGAAUAUUGGACAACGGGCGAAAGCCUGAUCCAGCCAUGCCGCGUGUGUGAAGAAGGUCUUCGGAUUGUAAAGCACUUUAAGUUGGGAGGAAGGGCAGUAAGUUAAUACCUUGCUGUUUUGACGUUACCAACAGAAUAAGCACCGGCUAACUUCGUG
rnacentral:rRNA from 1 species